rnacentral:tRNA from 1 species
GGAGAGGUGGCCGAGUGGUUUAAGGCACACGCUUGGAAAGCGUGCAUACGGUAAAACGUAUCGCGGGUUCGAAUCCCGCCCUCUCCGCCA